GACGAACGCUGGCGGCGUGCUUAACACAUGCAAGUCGAACGGAAAGGCCCUGCUUUUGUGGGGUGCUCGAGUGGCGAACGGGUGAGUAACACGUGAGUAACCUGCCCUUGACUUUGGGAUGACUUCAGGAAACUGGGGCUAAUACCGGAUAGGAGCUCCUGCUGCAUGGUGGGGGUUGGAAAGUUUCGGCGGUUGGGGAUGGACUCGCGGCUUAUCAGCUUGUUGGUGGGGUAGUGGCUUACCAAGGCUUUGACGGGUAGCCGGCCUGAGAGGGUGAGCGGCCACACUGGGAUGGAGAUACGGCCCAGACUCCUACGGGAGGCAGCAGUGGGGAAGAGUGCACAAGGGGCGGAAGCCUGAUGCAGCAAAGCCGCGUGCGGGAUGACGGCCAUCGGGUUGUAAACCGAUUUCGCCUGUGACGAAGCGUGAGUGACGGUAAUGGGUAAAGAAGCACCGGCUAACUACGUG
rnacentral:rRNA from 1 species